rnacentral:tRNA from 1 species
GUCGUGGUGGCCGAGUGGUUAAGGCGUUGGACUUGAAAUCCAAUGGGGGUACCCGCGCAGGUUCGAGUCCUGUCCACGACG